GACGAACGCUGGCGGCGUGCCUAACACAUGCAAGUCGAACGGGGUGAUUCCUUCGGGGAUCACUUAGUGGCGAACGGGUGAGUAACGCGUGAGGAACCUGCCUUUCAGUGGGGGACAACAGUUGGAAACGACUGCUAAUACCGCAUAACAUGUACGGAUCGCAUGGUCUGUACAUCAAAGCUUUAUGUGCUGAAAGAUGGCCUCGCGUCUGAUUAGCUAGUUGGUGGGGUAACGGCCCACCAAGGCGACGAUCAGUAGCCGGUCUGAGAGGAUGAACGGCCACAUUGGGACUGAGAUACGGCCCAGACUCCUACGGGAGGCAGCAGUGGGGAAUAUUGGGCAAUGGGGGAAACCCUGACCCAGCAACGCCGCGUGAAGGAAGAAGGGCCCUUCGGGUUGUAAACUUCUUUUACCAGGGACGAAGAACGUGACGGUACCUGGAGAAAAAGACAACGGCGUAACUACGUAG
rnacentral:rRNA from 1 species